UACGAAGGGGGCUAGCGUUGUUCGGAAUUACUGGGCGUAAAGCGCGCGCAGGCGGCUAUCCAAGUCAGUGGUGAAAGCCCGGAGCUCAACUCCGGAACUGCCAUUGAAACUGUUUAGCUUGAGUACGAGAGAGGUGAGUGGAAUUCCCAGUGUAGAGGUGAAAUUCGUAGAUAUUGGGAAGAACACCAGUGGCGAAGGCGGCUCACUGGCUCGUAACUGACGCUCAGGCGCGACAGCGUGGGGAUCAAACAGG
rnacentral:rRNA from 1 species